AAUUUCAAAAAAAUUUAUUACUUUAUAUACAUGUUUUGUCUUGUUGCUCAUUAUUAUUUCUUAUAUGACUUUUACAUUAUUCGCUGAAAGUUUAUAAUAUCCUUAUUGUGUUUGUAAUAAUAAAGUAUCGUUGUUUACGAUAACUAUUAAUAUAUAUAUGUAUAAAAUACAGAAUAACUUUAGUUUAUUUUUGUCGGUCAUGUAAGCCAUACAAACAUUGUUAUUGGACAGACAAUUAUUACAGUUACAUUAGGAUAGCGCUCCUAAUAAGUGAGUGAAGAAUGAGAAAACAUUUUCUAUUAAAAUAAUUAAUUUGUAUCAAAAUUGAAUUUAAAAAAUCGACUUGAGAUCUUGAUUCGAAAUCAAACAUUCCUAUCGAACAAUUACUACCAUGGCUACAAUAAUGUUUUUGCCUAACGAAAUAAUUCUUAUCAUUUUGGAGAAACUCAGCAUAAAGGACAUCGAGUAUUUUAGUUCCACGUGUAAGACAUUUAGACAAAUAGAAUGGGGCAAUAUUCUUUGGAUAAAAAAAUUCUAUCAAAGAUGGCCUACUAUGAAAAAUGUUUAUGAUAAAAUGAAAAGCGAAGAUUUGCAGCAAAUAGAUUUUAAAAAGGAGUUAAAAGAAAAUGCAAAAUUUGCGAAAAAAAUGUGGGAAUUUGUACAUUAUUUAUUCAUGGAUAAUUCAAACGAUGAUAUUAAGAAAGACUUGCUUUUAGAUUUCCUUUACUCAAACGCAGGUUCAACGAAUUAUUUUCUUCUUCUAGAUGAAUUCAAAAGAAUUUUUGCACAAUCUGCACGGGAACCUGGUCACGAUUUAACACGAAGAUUUAAUAGCCGCUUCAUUUUUCGAUUAAUAAGACAUUCUCGUACCCGGUUUAAAUAUCUAAAAUUUAUAAAUAAACCCAAAGAACAACAAUUUUUAGAACAGUUGGUUACUAUUGUAGUACAAUGGUUUACACCUCUACAGCAUGUCUCCUAUUCACGCAUACAAGCAUUAUUAGAUAAGAUUGCACAACAAGUGUUGCAAACUCUUAGGAAAGAAUGUCCCAAGCAUCCUAUAUUAACGGUGGCUAACGAGCACUAUAUUUACUGGAAAACCAAUAAUAUCAAUUACAGUUAUUGGAAUUAUAAAGAAAUAUUGCCAAUUUCGUUUAUAACAGAAAGAAUUAUAUUCUCUCAAACAAAUUUCCAAACAUUAAAUCAGUUAUGGUUAACACACCAAAAUCAAGAUGCAUAUAAUAUUUCAGAGGGCAGUGAAAAACUAUUUCUACUAACAAUAUAUCACAGUGUAUUGCGAAGAUUCGGCAUUUACUCUCUUCUAAUAGGAGGCUGUUUGCUUCAAAUAUUUUGGAAACCGAUAGAUAAUAACGGAUUAGGAUAUUAUAGUAUUGGUUUGCAGUCCGGUCGAUUCUUCUUGGUGCCGAAUCAUCGUAGUAUAGAUAAAAGAUGUCACUACAAGACAAUAACAAAAUUAGUUGACCAUUUGGAAAAAGAAUUACAAACACUUCAUCCAGGAGAGAUAAAUAUGCUGAGUUGUAUGCUAUUAAGACAAUAUAUAAAUAUUACAGACGUAAUGAUGUGGUUUUGUGAUUUCACGAUUCCAAAAAAAAAUUUGUGGAAGAAAGAUCGCCAAAACUAAAAUUUGUGAUUGGAACAAUAGUAACCCAUAGAUGUAAGAUUGAUCAAAAUCACAUUGGGGUGAUAGUUGGUUGGACUAGUUAUUAUUAUCCUCCAGCGUGUAUUAUAAAAUUGAACAAUUUUCCUUUUUAUUUAAAUGUGUUAUGCACAAAUUGGCAGUGUACAGAUUCGGAGUGUAGUACACAUAAACCAUACUACGUAAUUUUAUGUGACAAUGACUUGUUCUGUUAUGCGGAACACGAGAUUGUAUCGAAAUGUGACUCACCAAGAUGGAUUAAUAAUAGAGAGAUAGGACGAUAUUUUUAUAGAUUUGAAGACGAUUAUUAUUUGCCUAAUGAAAUGUUAGCGAGAGAUUAUCCAUUUGAUGUCGCUAUAAUUAAUGAAAUA